UACGGAGGAUGCGAGCGUUAUCCUGAUUUAUUGGGUUUAAAGGGUGCGUAGGCGGGAUGCCAAGUCAGCGGUAAAAAUGCGGUGCUCAACGCCGUCGAGCCGUUGAAACUGGCGUUCUUGAGUGGGCGAGAAGUAUGCGGAAUGCGUGGUGUAGCGGUGAAAUGCAUAGAUAUCACGCAGAACUCCGAUUGCGAAGGCAGCAUACCGGCGCCCUACUGACGCUGAGGCACGAAAGCGUGGGUAUCGAACAGG
rnacentral:rRNA from 1 species